GAUGAACGCUGGCGGCGUGCCUAAUGCAUGCAAGUCGAGCGAAUGGAUUAAGAGCUUGCUCUUAUGAAGUUAGCGGCGGACGGGUGAGUAACACGUGGGUAACCUGCCCAUAAGACUGGGAUAACUCCGGGAAACCGGGGCUAAUACCGGAUAACAUUUUGAACCGCAUGGUUCGAAAUUGAAAGGCGGCUUCGGCUGUCACUUAUGGAUGGACCCGCGUCGCAUUAGCUAGUUGGUGAGGUAACGGCUCACCAAGGCAACGAUGCGUAGCCGAGCUGAGAGGGUGAUCGGCCACACUGGGACUGAGACACGGCCCAGACUCCUACGGGAGGCAGCAGUAGGGAAUCUUCCGCAAUGGACGAAAGUCUGACGGAGCAACGCCGCGUGAGUGACGAAGGCUUUCGGGUCGUAAAACUCUGUUGUUAGGGAAGAACAAGUGCUAGUUGAAUAAGCUGGCACCUUGACGGUACCUAACCAGAAAGCCACGGCUAACUACGUGCCAGCCGCCGCGGUAA
rnacentral:rRNA from 1 species